GGAAUAUUGCACAAUGGGCGCAAGCCUGAUGCAGCCAUGCCGCGUGUAUGAAGAAGGCCUUCGGGUUGUAAAGUACUUUCAGCGAGGAGGAAGGCAUUGUGGUUAAUAACCACAGUGAUUGACGUUACUCGCAGAAGAAGCACCGGCUAACUCCGUGCCAGCAGCCGCGGUAAUACGGAGGGUGCAAGCGUUAAUCGGAAUUACUGGGCGUAAAGCGCACGCAGGCGGUCUGUCAAGUCGGAUGUGAAAUCCCCGGGCUCAACCUGGGAACUGCAUUCGAAACUGGCAGGCUAGAGUCUUGUAGAGGGGGGUAGAAUUCCAGGUGUAGCGGUGAAAUGCGUAGAGAUCUGGAGGAAUACCGGUGGCGAAGGCGGCCCCCUGGACAAAGACUGACGCUCAGGUGCGAAAGCGUGGGGAGCAAACAGGAUUAGAUACCCCAG
rnacentral:rRNA from 1 species